GAUGAACGCCGGCGGCAUGCUUAACACAUGCAAGUCGAACGGGAAGUGGUGUUUCCAGUGGCGACCGGGUGAGUAACGCGUAAGAACCUGCCCUUGGGAGGGGAACAACAACUGGAAACGGUUGCUAAUACCCCGUAGGCUGAGGAGCAAAAGGAGAAAUCCGCCCAAGGAGGGGCUCGCGUCUGAUUAGCUAGUUGGUGAGGUAAUAGCUUACCAAGGCGAUGAUCAGUAGCUGGUCCGAGAGGAUGAUCAGCCACACUGGGACUGAGACACGGCCCAGACUCCUACGGGAGGCAGCAGUGGGGAAUUUUCCGCAAUGGGCGAAAGCCUGACGGAGCAAUGCCGCGUGGAGGUGGAAGGCCUACGGGUCGUCAACUUCUUUUCUCGGAGAAGAAACAAUGACGGUAUCUGAGGAAUAAGCAUCGGUUAACUCUGUG
rnacentral:rRNA from 1 species